rnacentral:tRNA from 1 species
GCUACCGUAGCUCAGCCGGUAGAGCAGCUGAUUCGUAAUCAGCAGGUCGAGAGUUCGAGUCUCUCCGGUAGCUCCA